rnacentral:rRNA from 1 species
GAUGAACGCUGGCGGCGUGCUUAACACAUGCAAGUCGAACGGUGAAGCAGAGCUUGCUCUGUGGAUCAGUGGCGAACGGGUGAGUAACACGUGAGCAACCUGCCCCUUACUCUGGGAUAAGCGCUGGAAACGGCGUCUAAUACUGGAUAUGAGCUGCGACCGCAUGGUCAGCAGUUGGAAAGAUUUUUCGGUCUGGGAUGGGCUCACGGCCUAUCAGCUUGUUGGUGAGGUAAUGGCUCACCAAGGCGUCGACGGGUAGCCGGCCUGAGAGGGUGACCGGCCACACUGGGACUGAGACACGGCCCAGACUCCUACGGGAGGCAGCAGUGGGGAAUAUUGCACAAUGGGCGAAAGCCUGAUGCAGCAACGCCGCGUGAGGGAUGACGGCCUUCGGGUUGUAAACCUCUUUUAGCAGGGAAGAAGCGAAAGCGACGGUACCUGCAGAAAAAGCGCCGGCUAACUACGUG